UACGAAGGGUGCAAACGUUGCUCGGAAUUAUUGGGCGUAAAGCGCACGUAGGCGGCUUUCUAAGUCAGGGGUGAAAUCCUGGAGCUCAACUCCAGAACUGCCUUUGAUACUGGAGAGCUUGAGUCCGGGAGAGGUGAGUGGAACUCCGAGUGUAGAGGUGAAAUUCGUAGAUAUUCGGAAGAACACCAGUGGCGAAGGCGGCUCACUGGCCCGGUACUGACGCUGAGGUGCGAAAGCGUGGGGAGCAAACAGG
rnacentral:rRNA from 1 species